UCUAGGCAGCGGUGGCCGCAGCUCUAUCGCAUUUCGUGUUUCUGGCGAGACGUCAGCUAAGUCUUUCUCCCGUAGGUUCUUUUCAGUGCGGUACCCGCCCGCGGUUCCCUCCAGGACAGCACCUAGUGAAGGUCAGAGGAGUCGCGGGUCUGUUUAAAAGUUGGUCUGAAGAUAACAGGACCUCUCAGUGACAGAUAUGCGAGUGUUACUGAGUGAGCUUCAUUUUGUGGAAAAUGAAGGAAGGUGUUCCAGUUUUGAAAUACCUGAAUUUGCUCUCUGUUGAAAAUUAUGUUUCUGGUCCCUUUAUGAAUGAUAGACAUAAAAGCAGAUGGAUACUAUUAUCAGAUAAGUGCUUUUAUAGUCUUAAUAAAUUUUCUUAUUUGUAAUCCCUAAACCAAAACUUGAUUCUUUAAAAUUUGUUUUUUGUUUUUUAGGUACCAGCGUCAAGGUUUACAGGAAUCAAGGUACUCAGUCUUUUCUGAAAAUAAAUUUGUAGUCUUAUAUAAAGUAAUAGGUACUAGUUUUUUCUUUCCUCAGAGGCUAAUGUAUCUCAGUGGUGCAGUUACACAGUGCCCCUGUAACUGGACCUAGACCAGGGGUGGGGAACGACGGGCCUGUUUGGUCUGGCCCUGCCAAGGCAGCCGCAGGCUGGACUUGAAAGUCAAUAAAUUUAGCUUUUUUCAAAUAUAAUUUUUAACUUGAUAAUUUUGUAUAGCCCAUGAAUGAUGUUAUAAAUAUCCAAAUGGCCCUUGGCAGAAAAAAGAUUCUCCACCUGACAUAGAUUAUUAAACCUAUUAGUAUGUGUGAAAAUAAAUUGUUUUUCUUCCAUAAUAGCUGAAGAGCUGGGUGUAUCUGGCUUAAACAGUUUUAGAUUUAUCUGAUGUUAUGGCAUCUGUACUAGUUUUCAGGUGGCUUAGCUGCUCAAAUUUAGGUUUCUUUAGAACCACUCCUGUCUUUUAAAAAGGUUAACUAUACUGAUAUAAGAACACAUGUACUCACAGUACAGUAAUAGGAGACCCAUGUAUUGU